rnacentral:rRNA from 1 species
AAAUGAAUAGACGGGGGCCCGCACAAGCGGCGGAGCAUGCGGAUUAAUUCGAGGCAACGCGAAGAACCUUACCAAGGCUUGACAUAUUGGAGAAGACCGUAGAAGUACGGGGAUCUUUGGAUACUCCUUUACAGGUGGUGCAUGGUUGUCGUCAGCUCGUGUCGUGAGAUGUUGGGUUAAGUCCCGCAACGAGCGCAACCCUUGUCCUAUGUUGCCAGCAAGUUGUGUUGGGGACUCAUGGGAGACUGCCGGGGUUAACUCGGAGGAAGGUGGGGAUGACGUCAAAUCAUCAUGCCCCUUAUGUCUUGGGCUUCACGCAUGCUACAAUGGAUGGUACAGAGGGUUGCGAUAUCGUGAGGUGGAGCGAAUCCCUUAAAGCUGUUCUCAGUUCGGAUCGGAGUCUGCAACUCGACUUCGUGAAGGUGGAGUCGCUAGUAAUCGCAGAUCAGCAACGCUGCGGUGAAUACGUUCUCGGGCCUUGUACACACCGCCCGU